GAGCCGUGGGCAAGGUGCCAGCAGGCCAUGACCUUUCUGGAGCUGAGAGUGUCCCAGGUUGCACGGUGGUUGUCACGCAGGUCCUAGAAGUUGUGGGACAGGCCCUCAGACGCUACCUGGAACCCCUGCCAUGUGGCCCUCACCUCAGCUGGACGAAGUCGCAGAAGUAUCCUGACUGUGCGUGACGUCUACCUGUGCUAUAGAUGAUCAGUCCAAGGCGGUGACAUCUGUCACCUCUGACAAAAGACACAGUAGGAGGCAAGUCACAAGCUCAGGGCACUUGAGGAGAGAGUCAGCGCCAGGAGGUAGGAGGUGACAUUGGGUCACCUCGGUGUCCGCCCGCCUCACAUGUGUAUGCGCUCCUGCAGUUGAAAUGGUAGAGUCAGCAGGUCGGCCUACGUCUUGCUUCGGUGACCCUGACGGCAGCCAAGUGCGUGCACUGACUUUCUUUCCAGCACCCUCCACUCCAUUUCAAGCUUCUGAGGAAGGCUCUGAGCCUGAGACCCUAUUCAGUGACUUCUCACUGACUUUCCAUGUUUCAAAACCGAACAGUCUUCAAAUGGGUAGAAGCAGAGGGAAUACUUUCUAACUCACUGUCUUAGGCCAGUUUUACCCUACUACCAAAGCCACACAAAGACGUUAUAAGGAGAGACAAGUACAGACCAAUAUUUUUCAUGAAUACAGGUUUAAAAUCUCUCAACAAAAUGUUAGUCAAUCGAAUCCAACAAUGUAUAAAAAAACAUACAUCAUGAUCAAGUGGGAUUUAUCCAAGAUACACAAGGCUGGGUCAACAUUUGAAACCAAUUAAUGUAAUCCAUCACAUCAACAGACUAAAGAAGAAAAAUCAUAUGAUCAAAUCAACAGAGGCAGAAAAAGCAUUUGACAAAAUCCAAGAUCCAUUUAUAAUAAAAAGCUUUCUGUAAACUUGAAAUAGAGAGGGAUAUCCUCAACCUGAUAAAGAAUUAUCUACAAAAACCUACAGCCAACAUCCUACUUAACAACAAGAAACAUAAAGCUUCCCCACUAAGAUCAGGUAUGAGACAAGGAUGGGAAAGAAAAAAAAACUGUAUUUAUAGAUGACAGUACUGGUAUGUAGAAAAUCUGAAGGAAC